GAUGAACGCUGGCGGCGUGCCUAACACAUGCAAGUCGAGCGGCAGCGCGAGUAGUUUACUACUUGGCGGCGAGCGGCGAACGGCUGAGUAACGCGUGGGAAUUUGCCCCAAAGUGAGGAAUAACUGCCCGAAAGGGUGGCUAAUGCCGCAUAUGAUCUUCGGAUUAAAGGAUUUAUCCGCUUUGGGAGAAGCCCGCGUCGGAUUAGGUAGUUGGUGAGGUAAUGGCUCACCAAGCCGACGAUCCGUAGCUGGUCUGAGAGGAUGACCAGCCAGACUGGAACUGAGACACGGUCCAGACUCCUACGGGAGGCAGCAGUGAGGAAUCUUCCACAAUGGGCGAAAACCUGAUGGAGCAACGCCGCGUGCAGGAUGAAGGCCUUCGGGUUGUAAACUGCUUUUAUGAUUGAGGAAUUUGACAGUAGAUCAUGAAUAAGGAUCGGCCAACUACGUGCCAGCAGCCGCGGUCAUACGUAGGAUCCGAGCGUUAUCCGGAGUGACUGGGCGUAAAGAGUUGCGUAGGCGGUUUGUUAAGUGAAUAGUGAAAUCUGGUGGCUCAACCAUACAGGCUAUUAUUCAAACUGGCAAACUCGAGAGUGGUAGAGGUCACUGGAAUUUCUUGUGUAGGAGUGAAAUCCGUAGAUAUAAGAAGGAACACCGAUGGCGUAGGCAGGUGACUGGACCAUUUCUGACGCUAAGGCACGAAAGCGUGGGGAGCGAACCGG
rnacentral:rRNA from 1 species